CCUACGGGUGGCAGCAGUAGGGAAUUUUCGUCAAUGGGCGCAAGCCUGAACGAGCAAUGCCGCGUGAACGAGGAAGGUCUUCGGAUCGUAAAGUUCUGUUGAAGGGGAAAAAGAGCGGAGAGAGGAAAUGCUUUCUGAUUGAUAUUACCCUUCGAGGAAGUCACGGCUAACUACGUGCCAGCAGCCGCGGUAAUACGUAGGUGGCGAGCGUUAUCCGGAAUGAUUGGGCGUAAAGGGUGCGUAGGCGGCCUGCUAAGUCUGGAGUGAAAGCCCAUGGCUUAACCAUGGUACUGCUCUGGAAACUGUGGAGCUUGAGUGCGGGAGGGGCAGGCGGAAUUCCUAGUGUAGCGGUGAAAUGCGUAGAUAUUAGGAGGAACACCGGCGGCGAAGGCGGCCUGCUGGACCGUAACUGACGUUGAGGCUCGAAAGCGUGGGGAGCAAACAGGAUUAGAUACCCUGGUAGUC
rnacentral:rRNA from 1 species